rnacentral:rRNA from 1 species
UACGUAGGGUGCGAGCGUUGUCCGGAAUUAUUGGGCGUAAAGAGCUCGUAGGCGGUCUGCCGCGUCUGCUGUGAAAACCCGAGGCUCAACCUCGGGUCUGCAGUGGGUACGGGCAGACUAGAGUGCGGUAGGGGAGAUUGGAACUCCUGGUGUAGCGGUGGAAUGCGCAGAUAUCAGGAAGAACACCGAUGGCGAAGGCAGAUCUCUGGGCCGUAACUGACGCUGAGGAGCGAAAGCAUGGGGAGCGAACAGG